AGAAGGGCGGGCAUCUAUUUUUAUCCAAAAUUUCUUCCUCUUUUUACCCUAGAUUUCAUAGUUUUGUGGGAACCAUUUUGAACGGCCGUCUGGAAAAUCCCCUUUCUCACAGACCACAGUUGAAGGUUCUCAGAUGAAAAUCCCCUUUCUCACAGUUGAAGGUUCUCAGAUGAAAAAUCCCCUUUCUUGCGAUUCCUAUAGAAUGUCGACUCGGAACUGACCGGCGGUGCCCGCGUCAUCUGGUGCCGUGUUUGUGAUUGAGAAGGAGCGUGCUUUGGGAGAGGGAGAGUGGAGAAUCGAGAAUACGAAGUUGGGUUUCUUUGGGGUUUGUGUUUGUGUUCAAACCUAAUUGCAUCUAUUUCGCAGAUGGUGCCUUCAGUAUGCCAGUAGAGCAAAAGGAGUUGGGGGUAUACGAUAUCGCAAAUCAGACUGUCGGUUCAGUCGCUCUCUCUAUUCCUUUUGACGAUGAUGAACAAUGCUACCGAUGGUUCACAACGCAAAUAUAAGUAUGCGUUAUUUGUUUUUGUAGUAGCUGUAACUGCCUCUAGGUUUUCAAAAAAUAUGUGCAUUCUAUCUGUUUGAUUGAAUGCCGCUUAGACGUUCUUGUCUUUUUUAUUGGAUUCCAGUUUUUCGUUCCA